rnacentral:lncRNA from 1 species
GAGAGGUCAAAAGAUAUGGGCUUUUGGGUUGGGGGCAUAACGAUACAAACUUAUUGUGACUUCUAAAUUUAUUUUUAUGCAUACAAGGUUUAUAUGUUUUGUUGUCUUCGGCGUGUUAGACAUGUGAUAUUGAACUGGUUAAAAGAUAUUGUGGGUCUAAUGGUAAGUGAGUCGUUAAUUUUAUUUUAAAUUUGAAUUUGAUUUUGCCUACAACUAAUGGUUGAUGACAACUUUAUGUUAUAUAUUUUUUGAACUUCGACUUUAAUAUAG